UGAGAAUUUUGCUCAGCCUGACAAGUUUGAUCCUUCGAGAUUUGAGGUGGCUCAGAAACCCAAUACGUAUAUGCCAUUUGGCAAUGGGACCCACUCCUGUCCGGGAAAUGAAUUGGCCAAGCUGGAGAUGUUGGUUUUACUCCAUCAUUUAACCACAAACUACAGGUGGAAUGUAGUGGGAGAUGAAGAAGGGAUUCAAUAUGGUCCAUUUGCUCUUC